GACGAACGCUGGCGGCGUGCCUAAUACAUGCAAGUUGAGCGCUGAAGGUUGGUACUUGUACCGACUGGAUGAGCAGCGAACGGGUGAGUAACGCGUGGGGAAUCUGCCUUUGAGCGGGGGACAACAUUUGGAAACGAAUGCUAAUACCGCAUAAAAACUUUAAACACAAGUUUUAAGUUUGAAAGAUGCAAUUGCAUCACUCAAAGAUGAUCCCGCGUUGUAUUAGCUAGUUGGUGAGGUAAAGGCUCACCAAGGCGAUGAUACAUAGCCGACCUGAGAGGGGGAUCGGCCACAGUGGGACUGAGACACGGCCCAAACUCCUACGGGAGGCAGCAGUAGGGAAUCUUCGGCAAUGGACGAAAAUCUGACCGAGCAACGCCGCGUGAGUGAAGAAGGUUUUCGGAUCGUAAAACUCUGUUGGUAGAGAAGAACGUUGGUGAGAGUGGAAAGCUCAUCAAGUGACGGUAACUACCCAGAAAGGGACGGCUAACUACGUG
rnacentral:rRNA from 1 species